AUGAGCAUUGAUUUUGGGUAAUUUGGAUUUGUUAUGACUUUUUAAGAGCUUUACAAAGUCAAGUUUGUUUUUGAAUGACUUGGAUUUUGUGAAAUAAAAUAGGGUUGAUAUUUCUAGUUUUUCAAGAAUUUUGUAAAAGAUCUAUGGAUGAAAUUUUGUGGAUUAAUGGUCAUAGUUGUGCUUAAUAUGUGAUAUGAAUCUUAGCUCGAUCUAAUAGUUAAAUUGAGGAUUAUUGAGGUUUAAGUAGGUCAAGGUCUCUAAAAAUAGAAUUUUAGGUCCAAUGAGGGUUUUUAAGUUUUUUUGCAAUCUAUAAGUUAAAUUGGAGUGAAAUUUAUGUGUGAGGAUAUUAGACUUGUAUUUUUAUGUGUAUUAAAAUUUUAAGAUCAAUCG
rnacentral:lncRNA from 1 species